AAUGGAAUUACUGGCUCACAUGGUACUUCUAUUUUCAGUUUUUUGAGGAAUCUCCAGAAUGUUUUCCAUAGUGGUUGCACCAAUUUUCAUUCCCGUCAGCAAU
rnacentral:pre_miRNA from 1 species